rnacentral:lncRNA from 1 species
CUCACAGUUUACAACUCUGGUUAAUCAGGCUCACAGUUUACAACCCUGGUUAAUCAGGCUCACAUUUACAACCCUGGUUAAUCAGGCUCACAGUUUACAACCCUGGUUAAUCAGGCUCACAGUUACAACCCUGGUUAAUCAGGCUCACAGUUUACAACUCUGGUUAAUCAGGCUCACAGUUUACAACCCUGGUUAAUCAGGCUCACAGUUUACAACCCUGGUUAAUCAGGCUCACAGUUCACAACCCUGGUUAAUGUGUAUGUCUGUUUCCACAACAACGAAAAUUAAUUUUACAUGGAAACGAAAAUAACGUCAAGGAAGUAUUCAUAAAAUGCAAGUUGUACCGGUUGAUUAUUCUCUCUCAUUGUGUGAGAAAGACAUGGAUCCACAAUUUAAUUCUGUCUCGUUAGAAUCUCUGUUGAAGAGCAAAUGGAAUCAAUCAGAAUGAGGUGCUUUAUCUAGCCCUCUAGUGGUGAAAGUUAUCCAAAUAUAUAUACUAUUGCACGGUGUAUUUUCCUGAUUAGAGCAGUAGUGUAAAGUGGUCAUUAAGAAAAAAAGUGUCUCUGAUGAAGAUUUCAGAAUGUGCGAAGACGCUAACGAGACACACUCCAACCGACCACUGCCAAUCAGCAUCAAUCAUUACACCACAUACAUAUAUACAGUACACUGAGCAAACAUUCAGAAGACCUUCCUAAUAUUGAGUCCCACCCCCUUUUGCCCUCAGAACAGCCUCAAUUCUUCGGGGCAUGGACUCUACAAGGUGUCAAAUGGAUGCUGGCUCAUGUUGACUCCAAUGCUUCCCACAGUUGUGUCAAGUUGGCUGGAUGUUCGUUGGGCGAUGGACCAUUCCUGAUACAUGCGAAUAACUGUUGAGCAUGAAAAACCCAGCAGCGUAGCAUUUUUUCACACAAACCGGGGCGCCUGGCACCUACUACCAUACCUCGUUCAAAGGCACUUAUAUUUUGUCUUGCCCAUUCACCCUCUGAAUGGCACACACACCCAAUCCAUUUCUCAGUUGUCUCAAGGCUUAAGUAUCCUUCUUUAACCUGCCUCUUCCACUUCAUCUACACUGAUUAAAGUGGAUUUAACAAGUGACAUCAAUAAGGGAUCAUAGCUUUCCCCUGGAUUCACCCGGUCAGUCUGUCAUGGAAAGAGCAAUGUUUUGUAUACUCAGUGUAAACAGGACCAUUAAACAUUAAAAUCACCUUCCUAGGGAUACACUCACACUCAAGCAAGAUCACCACCUUGAACCUGAUAGGCCACUCAUCCAUUCACCACCUCUUCCAGAAACAAAUCGAAGGACAUAAUGAGUGGGCCUGCUAACAAACCAGCAGACUCCAGGGAGG